AGAGAACCAGGUUCAGUCCUGAUCUUAAGUGGUGUCUGUGUGGACUUUGCACAUUCUUCCUAUGGCUAUGUGGAUUUCCUCCAGGUACUCCUGUUUCCUCCAACAUCCCAAAGAUAUGGAUUGAUGAAAUCAAAAGCAUUUUCUUCGCUGUGGAGGAUGCAAGAUCCAUUGACCUUUAUCGAAUUUUCCUCAGGAUAAAUAUUGGCAAGGACACUGGCAGAACAAGUUUUCUUUGUAUAGUGUCACAGGAUCUGUUACGUUCACCUGAGAGGGCAGAGCGCUUUGAAUCUGAGAAACAAUUCCGAAAGGAAGAAUGCUGCUUCAGAG